rnacentral:rRNA from 1 species
GACGAACGCUGGCGGCGUGCCUAAUACAUGCAAGUCGAACGAGAGCGACCGGUGCUUGCACUGGUCAAUCUAGUGGCGAACGGGUGAGUAACACGUGGGUAACCUGCCCAUCAGAGGGGGAUAACAUCCGGAAACGGAUGCUAAAACCGCAUAGGUCUUCGAACCGCAUGGUUUGAAGAGGAAAAGAGGCGCAAGCUUCUGCUGAUGGAUGGACCCGCGGUGCAUUAGCUAGUUGGUGAGGUAACGGCUCACCAAGGCCGUGAUGCAUAGCCGACCUGAGAGGGUGAUCGUCCACAUUGGGACUGAGACACGGCCCAAACUCCUACGGGAGGCAGCAGUAGGGAAUCUUCCGCAAUGGACGCAAGUCUGACGGAGCAACGCCGCGUGAGUGAAGGAGGUUUUCGGAUCGUAAAACUCUGUUGUUAGAGAAGAACAAGUGCUAGAGUAACUGUUAGCGCCUUGACGGUAUCUAACCAGAAAGCCACGGCUAACUACGUG